rnacentral:lncRNA from 10 species
CCGCAAUUCCCGUCACGGAGUGCGUCCUCUAGCGCGGGGCGGAAGACCCGCGAAGUGUUCAAGCGGCCGCAGAGCGGCCCAGAGUUCGCAGGUCUGGGGCUCUCUUCCCAGAGAGCUCGUAGGGGAGGACAGUCAAGGGACUCAAGCGUCUCUCUUGACUCCCCUUCUCUCGCUGUGCAGUGGCGGCGCCGAGGGGUCGACGCUCAGGGCUAAUCUCUAUGAGUCACCCUCGAGGCCCCGGGUAAUAUUGGGUGGAUCACAAGAACUAAUCUUUCAUGAUUUGGAAACCGGAAGGAAAGAAGCACUUUUGUAGCUGACUUACCUCAAUGACAUGACCAGUGUCUGAGCCUACAACUGCGCUAUCUUCCCUGGAUUUUUCUUCACCUUUUCCUUACUCAUGAGCCAGAUGGAGCUAAGAUUGGAACUGAGGUCUGGCUAUAAAGCUGCCUUUAUGUCCAUCGCAUCCUAAGGGCUGCUGUUGCUCUUCUGCCUCUACACUGAUGGACUACGUCAGAACAUCAAUAUGCUGUAUUGAUGAUAAUGGAUGAUAUUUUCUUAGUUGUGCCAAUAUUACUCUUGAGGGAAGAAAUGAUGCCAAGCACUUAAAAAAUAUUGUGCCACUUCCUUCUGGCCUCCAUGGUUUGAGAUGGAGAACUCUGCUGUCACCCUCAUUGAUCUUUCCCUUCACACCAAUGCCAAUUCCAGACUAACAUCCUGAAGCUCCAGUUUUGAGGGGUGCAAGCUGCAAGACUGAUAUCAACAUCCACCAAAUACCACUGAUGAGUGGCAAGUAUUAAAAAAACACAGAAAAUCCCACAGCAUGUUGUGGGUUGAAUUAUGCUUCUUCCCUCCCCAGAAGAGUAGGGCUUUCAGAACUAAGGCUGCACACCUAUGACCAUCUGAUCUUCAACAAAGCUGACAAAAACAAGCAACGGGGAAAGGACUUCCUAAUCAAUAAAUGGUGCUGGGAUAACUGGCUAGCCAUGUGCAGAAGAUUGAAGCUGAACCCCUUCCUUGCGCUAUAUAUGAAAAUCAGCUCAAGAUAGAUUAAAGAGUUAAAUGUGAAAUCCAAAACUAUAAAAACCCUGGAAGACAACCUAGGCAAUACCAUCCUGGACACAGGAACAGGCAAACAUUUCAUGACAAAUACACCAAAAGAAAUUGCAACAAAAGCAAAAAUUGACAAAUGGGAUCUAAUUCAACUUAAGAGCUUCUGCACAGCAAAAGAAACUAUCAGAGUAAAGAGUCAAUCUACAGAAUGGGAGAAAAUUUUUACAAACUACGCAUCAGAAAAAAGUCUAAUAUCCAGCAUCUAUAAGGAAUUAAACAAAUUUACAAGAGAAAAAUAAAUAUCCCCAUUACAAAGUGGGCAAAGUUCAUGAACAGACACUUCUCAAAAGAAGACAUACAUGUGGUCAACAAGCAUCUGAAAAAAUCCAAUAUCACUGAUCAUUAGAGAAAUGCAAAUCAAAACCACAAUGAGAUACCAUCUGACACCAGUCAGAAUGGCUAUUAUAAAAAGUUAAACAAACAAACAAAAAACAACCCAACAGAUGCUUGUGAGGUUGCAGAGAAAUGGGAACACUUAUACACUGUUGGUGGGAGUGUAAAUUAGUUCAGUCAUCGUGGAAAGCAGUAUGGCAAUUCCUCAAAGAACUAAAAACAGAACUACCAUUCAACCCAGCAAUCCCAUUACUGGGUACAUACCCAAAGGAGUAUAAAUCAUUCUACCAUAAAGACACAUACACAUGUAUGUUCACUGCAGCACUAUUCACAAUAGCAAAGACAUGCAAUCAACUUAAAUGCCCAUCAAUGACAGACUGGAUAAGGAAAAUGUGGCACAUAUACACCAUGGAAUAUGAUGCAGCCGUAAAAAAGAACAAGACCAUGUCUUUUAUGGGAACAUGAGUGGAGAUGGAGGCUAUUAGCCUUAGCAAACUAACAAAGGAACAGAAAACCAAAUACCACAUGUUCUCACUUAUAGGUGGAAGCUAAAUGAUGAGAACUCAUGAACACGAGGAAGGGAAAAACAGACACUGGGGUCUACUGGAGGGUGGAGGGUAGGAGAAGGGAGAGGAGCAGAAAGAUAACUAUUGGGUACUGGGCUUAAUAACUGGGUAAUGAAAUAAUCUGUACAACAAACCCCUGUGACAGAAGUUUACCUGUAUAACAAACCUUCACAUGUACUCUUGAACCUAAAAUAAAAGUUAAAAAUGAACACAAAAUUGUUCUUUCCAUCAAAAAGUAGGGCUUUUAGAAAUGCAUAAUAUAAUGAAGUUUUUAAUCAAAUAUGUCAAUAACAACAUCAAUAUGCAUAUCCUGUUGAAUUAUAAUGAAAGCACAUCCAAUUCAAUUAUGAAAACCUAUACAUUUUUAUUUUGCUUCUUUAAUAUAAAAAUAUCUAGGUCGGGCGUG